UCUGAUAUUCAGACAUAAAUGUGCAGGUACCAAUCACAGCUUCAGAAGAAUCUCAUGUAUCUGGCUGCCAUUGCUGAUUCUCAACCCCCCUCUUCUACUGUUCAUCCUCAGCAGGGAAACCCUGUUGGGCAGCAAGCACCAGUAUUCCCUUCCAGUCCAUCUCUGUCGUUCAAUCCACAUCAAAUUCAUCAUCAGCCGUAGCUUAUCUGGACAAAGAUGAAGUUUCUACGAUGAAUCAAAAUACAUUCUAAUAGAAGCAAUGUGAUUGAUAAUUACUAGUUGCCUCUGAAAUCUGAGGGUUUUUUUUUUAAGCUGAUUUUCAUUUGAUUUUAGUUCUAGUGCUUCUUUUGUAAUGAUUUUUUGUUCCUAUUAGAUAGAAUGGCACUACUUUCUCUUUGCUAAGCAUGAAUGGUUCUAUUCAUA